rnacentral:rRNA from 1 species
AUGUCCACACGCUGCAGCAGGCGCUGGACGUCGCCCCGCCGCCUCGUCUUCGCACGGCACAAGACCGUGCGGAGCACGCUGAGUGGCAGAACCGCCUCCUCGUCGCCCAUGAGGACGAGCGUUCUCCUCGUCGCCCAUGAGGACGAGCGGGUCAUGGCGGAGUGGCGCCAACAACACCCGGAGGACGUAUCCUACGAGCAAGCCUACUGGGCAAGGCGCCGCAAGGAGGAGACGCAAAGGCGCCGCGCUGAGCGGUUGGACAGGCGUCGGCGGAAGGCCCUGGCACUAUCCCAGUGCGAUGUAGUUGAGAAUGGUGGUGAGACGAUCUUUACAUCUGAUGAUGAUCGUUGGGAAGACAUGUGGCUCGAUACCUUGGAUCAGACCAGCGAGGAUGGCGACGAUGACGAUGACGAUGACGACUGGGAGUAG